rnacentral:rRNA from 1 species
ACGGAGGGUGCAAGCGUUAAUCGGAUUUACUGGGCGUAAAGGGUGCGCAGGCGGGUAUUUAAGUCAAUUGUGAAAUCCCCGGGCUCAACCUGGGAAUUGCAGUCGUGACUGAAUAUCUUGAGUAUGGUAGAGGAAAGUGGAAUUCUCGGUGUAGUGGUGAAAUGCGUAGAUAUCGGGAGGAACACCGGUGGCGAAGGCGGCUUUCUGGACCAGUACUGACGCUGAUGCGCGAAAGCGUGGGGAGCAAACAG